UCUCCUAGAUAACUGUAAGAACAUUUUUAGCAAACUAAACACACUUCUCUUAGAAGAUAAUUGUAAAAUGGCAUCACUCAAAGCUGAGAAACCUGUUGAAUCUCAGUCAUCAGGGCAGGUUAAGAAAGAACCUGCAAAACCCAGUGGUAGCACUCCAAAAGCUCCUUCUUCCAAGCCAGCUCCAAAGAAAACUCAGAAAAGGUCUCGUCCUAAACAGAAGGCAAGCAGCAAUAAAUAAGAUAUAUUAGUAGAAUGAUGAAUAAGAAAAAUAGUUGUUGGAAUCUUGUGAAGAGUUUGUAAGCAUGCUGUCGUGUAGGGCUCUUCAACAAAAUUUGAUACCAGUACUUUACCUCUUGCUUCUGUUGCUUACUAGUCAUCUGCAUGUAACUUAUUACAAGGCUAAGCUAAAAUAAAUAAAAGAUACUUAUUUAUUAGUUAUGAGAACAUGAGAUCAUUAAAAUAGGUUCUUGAUUA